UAGGGAAUCUUCCGCAAUGGACGCAAGUCUGACGGAGCAACGCCGCGUGAGUGAAGAAGGAUUUCGGUUCGUAAAACACUGUUGUUAGAGAAGAACAGCGCAUAGAGUAACUGUUAUGCGUGUGACGGUAUCUAACCAGAAAGCCACGGCUAACUACGUGCCAGCAGCCGCGGUAAUACGUAGGUGGCAAGCGUUGUCCGGAUUUAUUGGGCGUAAAGCGAGCGCAGGCGGUCAAUUAAGUCUGAUGUGAAAGCCCCCGGCUCAACCGGGGAGGGUCAUUGGAAACUGGUUGACUUGAGUGCAGAAGAGGAGAGUGGAAUUCCAUGUGUAGCGGUGAAAUGCGUAGAUAUAUGGAGGAACACCAGUGGCGAAGGCGACUCUCUGGUCUGUAACUGACGCUGAGGUUCGAAAGCGUGGGUAGCAAACAGG
rnacentral:rRNA from 1 species